rnacentral:misc_RNA from 1 species
AAGGAACAGAAAAAUGGUUACUACCACUCCAACGCGUUUUAAGGUGAAAGUGAACACACAUAAAGGAAGUUCUUAUUGGACACUUAGCGGUUCCACAACCAUUUUUGAAGAUGCGGUUGUAUUUACUAUGGAAUCUAUGCCUGACUUCUUUAGGCAAUCACUUAAUCAGGAUUCUAUUGAGUUACUGCCUGUUGAGUAGAUUUCUAUAAUCAUGAAU